UUCAUGUAUUAUGAAUGAAAAGCCAGCCCCGCUGCUUCCCGAGGUCUCCACUUCAGGGCCUUGCUAUGUAGUUCAGACUGACCUUGAACUCACUAUGUAGAACAGGCUGGCUUUGAAUUCCUCCUGCCUCAACCUCCUGAGUGCUGGGAUUAUAGACAUGCACCACCAUGCCCAGCUCCACUGUAAUUGGAUCUUGAAGAAUGAAGAACGUACCAGGAAGAAAACAAGAAGCAAGAAAGAAGCUUUGUGUUCUAGGACAUGGAAACUGGAUUGAACUCAGGACCUUUCACUUGCAAGGUAGGUGCAGUGCCACUGAGCUAAAUCCUCAGCCCAGUGAUUGAUAUUCUAAAUAGACAUCAAUCUCUCUAGCCCAUAUCCUUUCCAGAAAUUCCUCUUCCGUGACUUGUUUUCCCACUUGAUCCCCAUUUAAUCAAUAUUACCUGGGUAACUGUACUUGCAAUCUUAUUGUUAAUCAUGGUUUUGUCCCACCUCACGCCCACCUUGUGAUUUUCCAUUGGGUCUUAUAAUUUCAUCCCACCCUGUACCCGCCUCACCUCCAGGCUUUGCCCUAUAUAACACCUUUGAAAAGCAGGGUGGGUGGACAACCCACUUUCCGGUCUCCCUUCUAUCUCUCUUAGACAGAAGCUACCUUUCUCUCAAUAAAUUUUUCUUACUCUUAACUUCGUUUCUAAAAUUCACUCUUCAAUUUCAGAGAACAUGAACUUGUGUUUUGGAUAUCUAGUAGGUUGGAAGUUAUAAUAUUUCUGUUGUUUGGAUUAUUUUUGCUUAUUUGGAUACCAUAUUUGGAUCACUUGGUGCCCUAUAUCAGUGGCAUGCCUGUAAUCCCAGCACUUGGGGGGCUGAGGCAGGGGAAUCACUGAAAGUUCAAGGCCAACCUAAACUAUAAGCAAGACCCUGUCUGAAAAAAAUUUAAAAAAAUUUUUUUGCUCCUCUGAGUGAAUGAUAAUAAAACAAGGUUGAGAAACACUGCCCUGCACCUUUAUAAAUAGUCUCUUGUCAGAUGCUCUCAGAUGACUCAGGUGGGGUAUGUGCUUCUUUCUACCCUGGUGCCUAACUCAUGCACGAGGCAGUGUAUUUCAGCGCUCCAUGAAGGAGGUUAUCCAUGUGGUCAUGCAGAAAGGCAGCGUAACAUUCUGGGAACAAGUCUGGCCUGCUGGGGUUGGAAUGCUGGUUCUGCCAUUCAGUGUGUGAUCUUGACCUCUGUGUCUGUACUCUAUGGGCAACCAGGGCAGCUCUCUCCUUGUGACCCAGAGGGUACUGCUUAGUGUGUGUCAGUCAGGUAAGAGCCAGGAAAAUG
rnacentral:lncRNA from 1 species